ensembl:lncRNA
GUACUCUUCUGUCUGGCUUUCUUGAUGUGCUGUUAAGGAGGCUCUGCAGCUCCUGCCUCUCUAGCUGCGGUGUGUCUGUCCAGUAACACAGACAGAGCUGAGCACUCCCUGAGCCUCUUUCAGUACCCUUCCGCCUCAAAUGGUGUUGUUCAUCGUGGGCUGUCACACAUGUAAUCUCAGCCUGAGGACAGUCUGAGUUAACGCUGGAGGAAGAGGGAAGUGUGUUAUUUCAGUUCUCUGUGAAGAGCCUCCUCUGUGUCACUCUUGUUCUGACAAAGCAGCAAAGAUGCUCCACCAGAGAGCACAUAAAGGUAGUGGAAGAAGUGGCAGCGAUGAUACACACACAUCGUGAUGCUGUGCUAAGCUGCCACGAGUACUGCGGUACGAUGAUCUCAAGCAGAUAUUGAUGGCUGUUGCAUUUCUCUAUAGAAGGGACUGGGGAUGUGAGAUAGGACCUCCAGCUGGUACGGGCAAACUUAC